UUGAAACACUGGUUCCUAGUUUGAUCACCAAAGUUAAGCAACGUCAAGCCUGUUCAGUACCUAGAUGAGUAACCGCUUGAGAAUUCCAGGUGCUGUAAG